rnacentral:rRNA from 1 species
ACUCCUGCGGGAGGCAGCAGUGGGGAAUUUUGGACAAUGGGCGAAAGCCUGAUCCAGCAAUGCCGCGUGAGUGAAGAAGGCCUUCGGGUUGUAAAGCUCUUUUGUCAGGGAAGAAACGGUGAGAGCUAAUAUCUCUUGCUAAUGACGGUACCUGAAGAAUAAGCACCGGCUAACUACGUGCCAGCAGCCGCGGUAAUACGUAGGGUGCAAGCGUUAAUCGGAAUUACUGGGCGUAAAGCGUGCGCAGGCGGUUUUGUAAGUCUGAUGUGAAAUCCCCGGGCUCAACCUGGGAAUUGCAUUGGAGACUGCAAGGCUAGAAUCUGGCAGAGGGGGGUAGAAUUCCACGUGUAGCAGUGAAAUGCGUAGAUAUGUGGAGGAACACCGAUGGCGAAGGCAGCCCCCUGGGUCAAGAUUGACGCUCAUGCACGAAAGCGUGGGGAGCAAACAGGAUUAGAAACCCUUGUAGUCCCAUG